GCUUAGAUCCAGGCAAGGGAAGACAGAACCGUCUUUAACCAGAGAAGCAGAAACAGUUGUAGCACAGCUCAUAGAGAAAGUGUUGGAGCAUGGAGUAAAUUCAACUGCCUGGGUAGCGUGCCAGCUGGAGGAAGGCAGCAACUGGAUAACUGGAUUUGUGUCAGGAAAAUUGAGCUUUCUUCUUCCUCCCUUCUAUUUGGCCUUGGAAUACCCUGCAGACAAAGAUGGACUUCCUUUAGCCGUGUCCUCUGGCCCAGGCUACCAUCACCCCCCAAAGCCCUGAGCUUGAAACUGGGGUCAAGAAACAGCAACUGUCGCCACAAAUGAAGAAUGUUCACGUUUGUUUUACAACUUCUUAAUGCACCGCAUUCAGUCUUCCUGUAACCUUGACAGCUUAGUCCUUAAAGUAUAUUGGUGGAGCAAUGUCUGCAUGCCUUCGUCAACACAUCUAUUGGCCUGUUUGUCCCAGCAUCCCAGUUGGAAUGGGAACCCUUCUAAGAAAAGCCUUUAUCCUUUAUUCACCUACAAACUCACUGGGCACCCCCGGAAUUGUGGUCAUGGGCGUAUAGCAGGUGUCUAGUCACUCUUUUCUGGUUGUGCCAAUAAUUGGGGCCUGAUUACAAUUCUGUUUCAUCCAGUGCACCUCAACGGAGAGAAACCAGCAAGAAACUCAUGCUUUCUGCCCCAUCUCCUUCCUUUCUUCUGUGUGUAAAGUGGAGAAAAGGCUGGAGUGUGUGGUAAGAUAGGAAGAAACCAAGCAAAGCACACAUAAACAAACAAAUGAAUA
rnacentral:lncRNA from 1 species